GGCUAGUCCUCGGGCGGACCGGGGCCUCGGUGGCCGCCUUCGACGCGGGCACACUCCGGUCUUCGCCCUGUGCCGCCCGGUGGGGUGUCCUCGAUAAAGCCUUAAGUACCGUUUUUUACACCUAAUAGCAGGUUUUUUUUAUCCCUUCCCAGAAGUAAGCAGUUUUAUCAUUUGCGGGCCCUCCAGAUUUUUAUAUUCAUUCACACACACGUAUUCUGUGUGUUCCUACAGAAAAUGCGUAUUGUUAUUCGGGGGUUAUGUUUUUAUUGUCUUAUGGAAUGCUGUUUUACUUAUUACUCUGCAUCUUGCUUUUUCCCCUCGCUCUUUGAGAACGCUCCAAGUUGGGCACGUGGUUUCCUCUUGGGCAAGAUUGGGGAGCAGUUGGAAAUACUUGGGGUCCUCCAGCCAGAGUGGGUUUGUAUUGACUUGUAACAUAGUUACGUAACCUCCUGCCUCGUUUAUUUUCCGAAAUGGAAUUAUUAAUGCGACCGAACUCCCAAGACUUCAAACCUACUAUAUGCUGUACCAUCUGCCCAGAAAAUUCCUCUGUCCCUUGUCUGCAUUUCCGGUCCUGUGGUGAAUACAUGGACAAAUAGCUUAAUGCUGACGAACAGCUGUUCUCACAAUUAUUUACUCUAGAUGGAGACUGAUUCUACCUGCCAGCCCUGAUCAACACCACUCAAGUCAGAAUCUCUGACCCUGGUGGUAGCAUCUUCAUUUCUCUUUCACCAUUAGAAUCUCCCUAAGCAGAAAGAUUUUUUCCAGAAGUACAUAUUUUUUUUUUAUCUUCAUCAACUCAUUGAGGUGAGUUUAGACACUUUGUUUUUCUUCUCCCCAGUUCUCCACCUGCCCACUCCUUGAAACUGGCAGAUUCUUUCCUUCUGCCCAGGACACUGCCCCACCCGUCCUCACUUGACCAGAUGUUGCCUCGUACUUCCAGAGCACUCUGUAUCUACCACCCUGCCCUGCCCAUAGCAUUUAGUAUCCCCCGCUGUAAAUGCUACUUUCUUUGGAGCCCAUUCACCUUCCUUCCUUCAACAUCCCCCAUAUAAACAUACUGAAAGAUCCAUUAGUGAAAGGACUCUUUAUAUGUCUCUUACACAUUAUUUCUCUCUGAGUCAUACACACUCUCUCAUGUUCAAGGACACUCAAAGGAAAAUUAAUGAAUGAAUUAAAGAGUGAACUGUUUGUGGGGAAAGGUCUCCAGCAUACAUAUGUGUUUAUUCCUAGAGAACAUAUAAAACAGCUUACAAAAUUCCGGAAGGACUCCUCUUGGGAUACAUUACAUUAUACUUGUAAUUUAAUUUAAAGGUACUAUAUAUUUACCCUAUAAGCAAUCUAUUGUGUUAAAGGUACUAUAUAUUUACCCUAUAAGCAAUUUAUUGUGUUCCAGAAAGAAUCCCUGUGGAAUCUAUUUCAUUUCAUUUACAGUCUACUUUGGGGACACAUGAUGUCUCAUCAGUAUUGAGUUAUAACUCCUCAUUCAGUAUGUCUCCCUCUUUUAUGUUUGAUCAUGUUCUUCAUUUAAGUCCCACAAAUUAUUUAAAUUUACUUAUUAUUUAGUUUCAGCUAUCGUGAUGAUGUUCAUUGUUUAUAACAAUUUUCCAGGUAAAAGAAUUCAGAUGACUAUACAUACAUAUCAUUUCAUAACCCACCCUUUCGAAGUCUCUUGUUGAUAUUGAUGCUAUUUCUCUCCCACUUUAUUUUCUUUAUUCUUGUUUUGUACAUUAGUCUGACUAACUAAAUAUAACCAUAAUUAAUCAUUACAGUAAUAAUAGGCAUUUCAGUUUGUUCCUAAAUAGAUAGAAAUUGUUUGAAAUAUAAGAUGAUACAUCUUUCUUUGUGAUUCAGACAGCCAAUCAGAUCUUCGCUUCUCAAGACUCAAUAAAUGUGUUUUCACAACUGUUUCUCCUCCCUCAUUUGAAACCUCAGCUCUUUAAAUACUUAGGUCAUUAGAUCCUUUUUCUUUGUUUUCAUCUUCUGGCAUCCUAGUCCCUUAUGUUCAUGGGAAGGUGAUACAUCCCAACUCUGUUUUAUCCUUCUCUUUUGUCAUCACUGUCAAUUUAAACAUCUGUACGGGAUGACAAAACAAUAUGUCACCAUGAUAUAUUGUUUCCAUCAUUUUUCCAAGAGACGGAAUAAUAAAGUAAGUAUUUGAAUGCCCAAGAGACUGGUGAUUGGGGCUCUUUGAGUAACUCUGAAGACUGCAAUGGCCAUAUUUCCUGUGUUUUCCAUGCAUAAUGCCAUUUAUAUAUUAUGCCCAAACAAACAAAGGUGACAUUUGAAAAAAAAAACCUCUUUAAGAGUGAUGUCAGCAAAAAGGGCAGAAUAGGGACAUCUCCAGGGGCCAUCCCUCCCAGAAACACCAAAAAACCUGGCAAAAACAGAAUCAAUAGUAUCAGGACUCUGGAAGAUAGUCAAACAUUUACAUCAACCAAGUGAACAUUCAACCAGGAAAAAGACCUCUGAUCAGGUAAGAGAACGCUGUGGAGUUUUCACUUGGCCUGACUCCACCCCACCGUCAGCACAGCAGCAGUUUCGAAGAUGGCAGCCCACUCCCGGUGUUGGGUACCUGUCUGGGAGGAAGCAGAGCGGACCAUGUUCCCAAGAAAUUAGAGGGAGGAGAGAGACAGCAAUUUCUUGCCAUGAUGGUGCAUGCUGACCGAAGACGGCAGGGAUUUAUGAUGGGAAGGACAAAGAAGGCUCACAGCCAAGAAAAUGGGAAAUGGAGAGUUUCAAGAGGAGAAAAAAAGAAAGAAAGGUAACACCUCAAGAUUCCUCUGCUGCUUUUGUCUGAGGGUGAUUGGAACAGCGGCCACCCUCAGAGCUCACCUCCCAUGACUGAAGUAGCUGAGCCAAAGUGGUGAUCAGUGAACAGACCCCACUUCUCUGGAUUUUAAAGGACUAGAUCUCCAUAGCCAACCCUGGCACAGGCAAGCUGCAGGAGCCGGGGCUGCAGUCCCCACUGCCCCUGCCACACGGUUAGGGGGUGGUGCAUGGUUGCUGCUUCAUGGAAGGCAAAAUUCACUAUUUACUGGCCACUUCCUCCAUCUCUUCCUUGGACACUGCACAGUGUUCCACUAGACUCAAGUUCCAAAAACAGUUGAUUCAGACAGUUCCUGCCAGUUCAGUAGUUAUUUUUGGUGAAGGGCCUGAUUCCCCUACUCCACAUCUUCUCAUAAUCCUCUCUAAAAGACUGAAAUCACACAAAUUAUCUUCUCCAACCACAACGGGAUGAAAAUAAAAAUCAAUUACAAAAGGAAAAUUGGAAAAUUCACAAUAUGUGGAAAGUAACAAGACACUUAAACAACCAUUGGGUCAAAAUAGAGAUCAGAAGGGAAAUUAGAAAAUAUUUAGAAGCAAAUGAAAGUGAAAACACAACAUACCAAAAGUUAUGGGAUGAAGUGAAAGCAGUGCUGUGAUGAAGUUACUGCUGUAAAUGCCUACAUUUAAAAAUAAAGAUCUCAAUUCAACAACCUAACUUUAUACCUUAAGGAACUAGGAAAAAAAAAAAAAAAA